AUUGAACGCUGGCGGCAGGCCUAACACAUGCAAGUCGAGCGGCAGCGGGAAAGUAGCUUGCUACUUUUGCCGGCGAGCGGCGGACGGGUGAGUAAUGCCUGGGAAAUUGCCCAGUCGAGGGGGAUAACAGUUGGAAACGACUGCUAAUACCGCAUACGCCCUACGGGGGAAAGCAGGGGACCUUCGGGCCUUGCGCGAUUGGAUAUGCCCAGGUGGGAUUAGCUAGUUGGUGAGGUAAUGGCUCACCAAGGCGACGAUCCCUAGCUGGCCUGAGAGGAUGAUAAGCCACACUGGAACUGAGAGACGGUCCAGACUCCUACGGGAGGCAGCAGUGGGGAAUAUUGCACAAUGGGGGAAACCCUGAUGCAGCCAUGCCGCGUGUGUGAAGAAGGCCUUCGGGUCGUAAAGCACUUUCAGCGAGGAGGAAAGGUUGUUGGCUAAUAUCCAACAGCUGUGACGUUACUCGCAGAAGAAGCACCGGCUAACUCCGUGCCAGCAGCCGCCGCGGUAA
rnacentral:rRNA from 1 species